UACGUAGGGGGCUAGCGUUAUCCGGAAUUACUGGGCGUAAAGGGUGCGUAGGUGGUUUCUUAAGUCAGAGGUGAAAGACUACGGCUCAACCGUAGUAAGCCUUUGAAACUGGGAAACUUGAGUGCAGGAGAGGAGAGUGGAAUUCCUAGUGUAGCGGUGAAAUGCAUAGAUAUUAGGAGGAACACCAGUUGCGAAGGCGGCUCUCUGGACUGUAACUGACACUGAGGCACGAAAGCGUGGGGAGCAAACAGGAUUAGAUACCCCUGUAGUCCCUGA
rnacentral:rRNA from 1 species